rnacentral:rRNA from 1 species
UACGAAGGGGGCCAGCGUUGCUCGGAAUUACUGGGCGUAAAGCGCACGUAGGCGGCUUUCUAAGUCGGGGGUGAAAUCCUGGAGCUCAACUCCAGAACUGCCUUCGAUACUGGAAAGCUCGAGUCCGGGAGAGGUGAGUGGAACUGCGAGUGUAGAGGUGAAAUUCGUAGAUAUCCGGAGGAAUACCAAAGGCGAAGGCAGUGUCCUGGCUGGCAACUGACGCUGAGGCGCGAAAGCUAGGGGAGCGAACAGG